rnacentral:pre_miRNA from 1 species
AUGAGGAAAAACCCCAGUGACAGCGGCCAGCUCUGCAAACCUGGAUUCAGCCCCUGUAGUAACUCCUGAGCAGGCAGUCUGCAGGGCCUGGAGGCUCCGGGGCUGA